rnacentral:rRNA from 1 species
AUUGAACGCUGGCGGCAUGCCUUACACAUGCAAGUCGAACGGUAACAGGUUAAGCUGACGAGUGGCGAACGGGUGAGUAAUGUAUCGGAACGUGCCCAGUCGUGGGGGUAACUGCUCGAAAGAGGAGCUAAUAACGCAUACGACCUGGGGGUGAAAGCGGGGGGUCGCAAGACCCCGCGCGAUUUGAGCGGCCGAUAUCAGAUUAGGUCGUUGGGUGGGUAAAGGCUCACCAAGCCGACGAUCCGUUGCUGGUCUGAGAGGACGACCAGCCACACUGGGACUGAGACACGGCCCAGACUCCUACGGGAGGCAGCAGUGGGGAAUUUUGGACAAUGGGCGCAAGCCUGAUCCAGCCAUGCCGCGUGCGGGAAGAAGGCCUUCGGGUUGUAAACCGCUUUUGUCAGGGAAGAAAAGGUUCUGGCUAAUACCUGGGACUCAUGACGGUACCUGAAGAAUAAGCACCGGCUAACUACGUG